GCAGUCGAGCGAGACCUUCGGGUCUAGCGGCGGACGGGUGAGUAACGCGUGGGAACGUGCCCUUUGCUACGGAAUAGUCCCGGGAAACUGGGUUUAAUACCGUAUGUGCCCUUCGGGGGAAAGAUUUAUCGGCAAAGGAUCGGCCCGCGUUGGAUUAGGUAGUUGGUGGGGUAAUGGCCUACCAAGCCGACGAUCCAUAGCUGGUUUGAGAGGAUGAUCAGCCACACUGGGACUGAGACACGGCCCAGACUCCUACGGGAGGCAGCAGUGGGGAAUCUUAGACAAUGGGGGCAACGCUGAUCUAACCGUGCCGCGUGAGUGAUGAAGGCCUUACGGUUGUAAAGCUCUUUCAGCUGGGAAGAUAAUGACGG
rnacentral:rRNA from 1 species